rnacentral:rRNA from 1 species
GACGAACGCUGGCGGCGUGCUUAACACAUGCAAGUCGAACGGUAAGGCCCUUCGGGGUACACGAGUGGCGAACGGGUUAGUAACACGUGGGUGAUCUGCCCUGCACUUCGGGAUAAGCCUGGGAAACUGGGUCUAAUACCGGAUAGGACUCCUGGCUUCAUGGUUGGGGGUGGAAAGCUUUUGCGGUGUGGGAUGGGCCCGCGGCCUAUCAGCUUGUUGGUGGGGUAAUGGCCUACCAAGGCGACGACGGGUAGCCGGCCUGAGAGUGUGACCGGUCACACUGAGACUGAGGUACGGGCCAGACUCCUACGGGAGGCAGCAGUGGGGAAUAUUGCACGAUGGGCGCAAGCCUGAUGCAGCGACGCCGCGUGAGGGAUGACGGCCUUCGGGUUGUAAACCUCUUUCAGCUAUGACGAAGCGCAAGUGACGGUAGUAGCAGAAGAAGGACCGGCCAACUACGUGCCAGCAGCCGCCGUAA